CCUACGGGCGGCAGCAGUGAGGAAUAUUGGUCAAUGGGCGAGAGCCUGAACCAGCCAAGUCGCGUGAGGGAAGACGGUCCUAUGGAUUGUAAACCUCUUUUGCCGGGGAGCAAAAAGCGGUACGUGUACCGCAUCGAGAGUACCCGGAGAAAAAGCAUCGGCUAACUCCGUGCCAGCAGCCGCGGUAAUACGGAGGAUGCGAGCGUUAUCCGGAUUUAGUGGGUUUAAAGGGUGCGCAGGCGGCGAGUUAAGUCAGCGGGAAAAUUUCGGGGCUCAACCCCGACAAGCCGUUGAAACUGGCUUGCUAGAGUGGGCGAGAAGAAUGCGGAAUGCGUGGUGUAGCGGUGAAAUGCAUAGAUAUCACGCAGAACUCCGAUUGCGAAGGCAGCAUACCGGCGCCCAACUGACGCUCAGGCACGAAAGCGUGGGUAUCGAACAGGAUUAGAUACCCGUGUAGUC
rnacentral:rRNA from 1 species